GAUGAACGCUAGCUACAGGCUUAACACAUGCAAGUCGAGGGGAACGAUAUUGGAAGCUUGCUUUUCUUAGGCGUCGACCGGCGCACGGGUGAGUAACGCGUAUCCAACCUGCCCAUCACUUGGGGAUAACCUUGCGAAAGUAAGACUAAUACCCAAUGACGUCUCUAGAAGACAUCUGAAAGAGAUUAAAGAUUUAUCGGUGAUGGAUGGGGAUGCGUCUGAUUAGCUUGUUGGCGGGGUAACGGGCCCACCAAGGCGACGAUCAGUAGGGGUUCGUGAGAGGAAGGUCCCCACAUUGGAACUGAGACACGGUCCAAACUCCUACGGGAGGCAGCAGUGAGGAAUAUUGGUCAAUGGGCGAGAGCCUGAACCAGCCAAGUAGCGUGAAGGAUGAAGGUCCUACGGAUUGUAAACUUCUUUUAUACGGGAAUAAAAGUUUCCUACGUGUAGGAUUUUGUUAUGUACCGUAAUGAAUAAGCAUCGGCUGACUCCGUG
rnacentral:rRNA from 1 species